CGGACUAUGAAUACCGGCCUAUAAGUAUAUACAGGGAUAUAGGGGUAUAUACAGGUAUAUAGGGACACUUCUUUGUUCUCCAAGGACCGCAAUUUUGAGUACGCAUGCGUCAAUUGUACAAUUUUUAAUAUGGCCUAUGUGCCACAUGCUAUCUGUACACGUUAUGCUGUGAUAAAAUAUUAAGUAAUAAAGAUAAAAUUUAAAUUUUGUGUCAUCACAGAAAAAAUAAAAAUGUCUGAAGAUAUAAAUCAUAAUAUAAUUAUUAUGAAGAGAAAUAAUAAUGGAAGGAAGAUCAUGAAAGGUGUCUAUAGCUGUACAAUGCAAGGAUGCUCAAAUAUUUCUGGACGUGACUGGCCUCAGCUUUUUUUCUUUUCCACGAGAUUCAGAAAGAUCUAAAUUAUGGUUAAAAAAUUGUGGGCGUAUUAUUGAAACGUCGAUAGAGAAAUUACACAAAAAUUAUCGUGUUUGUGAAAAUCACUUCGCACCAUCAAUGUUUUUGACUUGAAGAAUCGAUUGCAGCCAAAUGCAUUUCCGAUACCAUUAAAUGAUCAAUCAGCAUAUAAUUCAUUGAUUUCUGACAAUCAGAUAUUCUCAAAUAACCAUGAUACAUAUUCAGUAGAACAUUUAAAUCAAAAUCAAAUAAAUGAUGUAAGACAAAAAGAUCAACAAACACAAAUCGAAUUUAAUACACAAAAUCAAAUAAUUCAAACGAGUGCAAAACUAUUAAGUAAUUCACCAUGAAAACAGAAACUCAGAUAUAAGAUCCGUUUGUUACGACAGCAAUUGCAAAAUAUGAAACAACGAUUAAAACAACAACAAUUAAAACGACAAAAAAACAAUAUCAGCACACACACACACACAUGUUUUGUUUGUGUGUGUGUGUAAACAAAUAAUAUUAAAAUUGUAAACAUUAUAAU